rnacentral:rRNA from 1 species
AUGAUCCUGAGAGAUGGCCACCAUAGGGUCGUGACCUUCUUUAGCACACACAUCGGCACCGCCCCCACGGCCACAGCAGGAGGACGACAUUGGGGAACGAGAAAGUCAGGUACUACUCAUGUGACGGCGCAAGAGCCCAUCCUGGUCGAGCACCGUCCCAGGUGUGGAGCUACUCGAGGCAGCAUGACAUUAUGCCACAUGGAGAUGGGGAUGGCCAUGCCCGCGCCAAUGCUGUCGGCCGACGUCGGUGAGAGCAUCACGGUCGACAACGGCUCCAACGACCUCUCUAGGAGCUUCUCCAUGAGCUCCUCGGACGACACCAACUCCAAUAUCAUGUUCUCCACACCCGGAAGCAAGAUGGACAAGGUGCUCAUUGACAACGAUGGUGGCAUGAUCACCAACCUCAGCAAAAUCGAAUCCCAAGAAAGAAGAGCUAGUAAUAGCAAUAAGCUAAGGAGGCUGCAAGACCUCGUGCCCAAUAUGGACAAGCAAACAACUGCAUCAGACAAAGAUCUAGAGUACCUGCUCAUAUCUGGUGAGCGGGUAGUCUCUCGCCCCAAACGCCUAAGCUCCUGGUGA